AGCAUACUGAAAACAUCCACCAUAUGGUAAAAUUAGUGAAAUAACAGCAGCAGUAAGACCAGAAUGACAUAAUUCUGUCUACUAGUGCUGUGUCUCAUUUAAGUUGUAUAUUACUGGAUGUCCCAGUCAGAAUUAGAGGCCCCUGUGUGAGGUAUUCGACAAUCACUUUGCCUUGAGCAAACAAAGCUGGGAAAACAACAAAGACUGGGAUUUAAAAAUCCCAGCCUAAAGCAACAAACAGCACAAAGCAGAGUCUCAUAGCUUGUUGUAAAUGCCUCUGAUCGUGGGAUUUAUCGCUUUCCCACCUGUGCUCCCCUAAUCUAGCUACUUAGCCUCUGCAAGCUCAUUCAGAGAGGGACUAUCUGAAUCCUUCAGCUGUUCACCUUGAGUAAUACCACAGGGCCAGAUUUCCUCUCUGCAACUUGGUUCAAUAUUGAAAUGGAAGGAGACAACAAAGAGCACACGCAUAGUGUAGGGAUGAAUCCCAAUUAAAGUUUCUGUGGUUUCUUGGUUUCAAAGACAGAUAUUGGCCAAUGGUGAAGGAGAAAACCAAAGUCACGGUUCUGCCUCAUUUUUUACACAAGGCAACACUGUCUCCCUACUGCGGUGGGAAGACAGUGCCAAAGUCCUUACAGAGACACGACCAACCCAGGACAACCACCUCCCACAGCAAAACUCUCCAAGCAGUUCCCUCUCAGCCUCUGAAAUCCGGGGAGCUCUGGAGCUGAAUCAUCACAUUUCAGUACAAUGUGGUCUACUACUUGACCAUUGACCUACCAACUGCGGCAGUACUUCUCCUAGUACACCAGAACGAUCAAUUAAAAUGGCAGCAAGGGCACAUAAAACCUCCUGAAACAAACUGACAGAUGAAGAAAUUCAAGCAGAUACCAGCACGGGUGCCAAAAAUGUUAAAAUCUGCAAACUAAUUGUUUCCUUAAUGGGAUAAUGCUUCUGAAGACUACUGUUUGGAAAUGCAAUGGCCUGGAAAAUGGAGGUCAAUAAAACAACAAAAGGACAAUCAGCAUAGCUGAAAGAGGAGAGCAUUUGAUGGAAAUAAUUUAAUCACCAAACUAAUUCCUUAUCUGUUAAAUAGGAAUGCCGGUUGGGAACGCAGUGGAGCAUAGUAAGUCUUACAGCUCAAGUCCUAACAAUGUAGUUAGUUGUGCUUUGGUGUAGCAAAACAUAUCCCUUGGGAUGGAGCAACUCCUCUUAUGUUGUUUUUCAGAAAAAAAUUCAAAAAUGUUAAAAUGGCCAGAACCAGUAAUAAUAGCUGGUUCCCUGUUGUUGUUGAGGCCAGGAUUAUUCUAUAUGUACGUAUAGAUACACUACAUUCACAUUUUACUUUCCUGCCAAGUCACCCUGUACACUGUGUACUUGAUAACAGGUCUACCACAAUGACUCUGGUCUGAAAGGUGAUGACAGGCUGUUUGUGGAUUCCUGCCUGCUGCCGCUGAACUCCUCACCUGCCCAACACAAGGACAUUCCCUUAAGACUCUUUCCAGCACAGUCUGGAAAGCCUGAUCAUCAUUUAGGUUUGCAUGUUCUCUGCCAAAUGAUGCAUAUACUAUGUGUACGGAGAAGUGUACUGGAAUGUGUAAUACAAGCAGAAGAUCUAUACCAAAAGGCAGGCUGUCUUUAUCUGCUUGGUGUUUGCCACCGGUCAGAAGAGAAGAAAAGCUGUGCUGCUGUUCUGUUGGACCAUGGAAAGGGCACAGCUAGCACGUGGGCAAUGAGGCUCUGCCCUGUCCAUGCAGCAGGCAACAAAAAUGGUCACUAUUCCCAGCUUUUAUUCUUCAAAUUCUAAUUUGUGGAGAGCAGAGCAAUAUCUGAAUCAUCUCUUAAUGAAAAGCAUCAGUUUUGCACAAGGACAGCAGAGAUUAUUUACAAGGAAAGCGGGUCUGCUGGUUAGUGAUGGCUGUCAUCAUUGAGUGCCCCAGAAUUUGUAUGUUAAACAAAGUGCCACUCAUGGAUGGGCAAAAGUAGCAACCUCCAGCUUCACAAAAUCUCUGCCUGCUUUCUCCAGCUGUGCUGAAAACCCUUUUCCCAUUUAAGCUAGUACUUGAACCGGUGUUCACUAGUAGAGAAGAGCUCAUUUGGAGAAAAGGACAGUCACCAGAAAGAUGACAAGAUCAUUGUUUUCAUGGCUGAUGGUCUUAUUGUUUGGGGAAUGAAAUCCCUGGGUAACUUACAGCUCAGAAGUCUUCUUAUGCAGGAGCCUGAAGAAAGCCGCAGAUCUUCCUUUGGAUUUUCAGAAUGGGAAGGACACAAGGCUUUGGGUGAUGUGGCUGAACACUGAGUAGCAACUAAAGAAUGUCUGUGACAAUCAAAAAGAAUGCUGUCCUUGUUCCAUGGCCCUCACGGACCUAGAUAAUCACCCCCACCUCCUACCCCCAGCUCUGAAAUUCCCGCAAAGAUAAAACGAGUUGAAAUUGUUUUGACACUGUUCAUUCAUCUGUAUGAGCGUGGAACGAGAAAGUUCGACAGGAAAAUACUUCAGAGACAUAUGAUAAACUAAUACUACCCAGAUGAAUGCAAACGCUACCUGGAAUAUAGAUGACGCACUGCUGAGAGAUGUGGACGUCUACAUCUUCGAGUUAAUCACCCCCAGAACAAUCCAACCACUACAGGCCCUCCUGACCUCUCUUCCCUCCUCAGCCUGUGCCACACUUAGGAGUUCACCAAGGGUGUCUUCAUCUGAGACAAAGCUGAAGAAGCACCCCAUGGCCUCUGCUUACGUUUGCAGACAUGCACUGAAGUAGUCCUGCACAUUUAGUCACUAAGAGACAAUACAGAGCUGCAAGGGAGGACAGUCAUUUUGUGGGAAAUUCUGAUUAUCCAUGAGUGUCAAACUGAA